GCCAGGGGUAAUCUGCCAUCUGCUGCCUUUGAACCCUGUGUCACUCUAUCCAAGAGACCACAUUUUCUUUCUGACUAUGAGUGAGGACCAGCACCCAGAAUGCAGAGCCAAGUGGCUAGAGCAUGAAGAGCUACUUCCAAGCCAGAAAAUAUUUAAAAGUCAAAGCCAGGUGAAUAGAAUCAUAUUGUAAAGCCCAGUAAGGGAAAGACAAAGCCUGAAGUAUCAAAGAUUGGGAAGACACCACAACGGGGCUGGGAACUAGAGCAGAGGUGAGAC
rnacentral:lncRNA from 1 species